CAUCUUUAAACCUUUGUUUUCUCAUCUGUAAAAUGGGAAUAACAAUGAUAAUACCUCCUUCAGAAUUGCAUUAAUAUUUGCAUAAGAUUACUGAGAAAUUUCAGUGAAAUAAUAAAAUGACCAUUGUUUGUUACUGUGAACAACAGUAACACUUAUAUAAUACUAAAAGUAAUGAGAAUCUCUUGCAGGACAAAGCCCACAAACGCUAUCUGCUAAUGAGCAUUGACCAGAGGAAAAAGAUGCUCAAAAACCUCCGUAACACCAACUAUGAUGUCUUUGAGAAGAUAUGCUUGGGGCUGGGGAUUGAGUACACCUUCCCCCCUCUGUAUUACCGAAGAGCCCACCGCCGAUUCGUGACCAAGAAGGCUCUGUGCAUUCGGGUUUUCCAGGAGACUCAAAAGCUGAAGAAGCGACGAAGAGCCUUAAAGGCUGCAGCAGCAGCCCAAAAACAAGCAAAGCGGAGGAACCUAGACAGCCCUGCCAAAGCCAUACCAAAGACACUCAAAGACAGCCAAUAAAUUCUGUUCAAUCAU
rnacentral:sRNA from 1 species